AUUGAACGCUGGCGGCAGGCCUAACACAUGCAAGUCGAGCGAGCGGCGGACGGGUGAGUAAUGUCUGGGAAACUGCCUGAUGGAGGGGGAUAACUACUGGAAACGGUAGCUAAUACCGCAUACCAUCAGAUGUGCCCAGAUGGGAUUAGCUAGUAGGUGGGGUAAUGGCUCACCUAGGCGACGAGCCCUAGCUGGUCUGAGAGGAUGACCAGCCAAACGGGAACUGAGACACGGUCCAGCGUCCUACGGGAGGCAGAAGUGGGAAAUAUUGCACAAGGGGCGCAAGCCGGAUGCAGCCAUGCCGCGUGUAUGAAGAAGGCCUUCGGGUUGUAAAGUACUUUCAGCGAGGAGGCGUUACUCGCAGAAGAAGCACCGGCUAACUCCGUGCCAGCAGCCGCGGUAAUUC
rnacentral:rRNA from 1 species